CGCCAUUUCACGUGAAAGUAGCGCGGUAGGUAGGAACGACGUCCAGGGACAAACAACUAAAAAGUCAGCCAGAAUUUGUAUUAAAUACACCAACUGGUGAUAUAUAAAUUAACAGUAACUGUUUUGUUAAACGGUAGGGCCUUACGGCUUUCGUUUUAACUGUCCUGUUCUGUUCUUGGAGACGAAGACAAUGAGUUACGGAAGGCCGCCGCCAGACGUUGAGGGGAUGACCUCCCUGAAAGUAGACAACCUAACUUAUAGAACUUCGCCGGAGACUCUACGCCGAGUUUUUGAAAAGUAUGGACGUGUGGGAGAUGUGUAUAUCCCCCGUGACAGGUACACCAAGGAGAGCCGCGGGUUCGCCUUUGUACGGUUCCUCGACAAGCGCGACGCCGAGGACGCCAUGGACGCUAUGGACGGCGCGCUGCUUGACGGGCGGGAGCUUCGGGUGCAGAUGGCCCGCUACGGACGACCUCCGGACUCAAUGUACAGCCGGAGAGGUGCUCCGCCACGCAGAUAUGGAGGCCGCUCAGCCAGUCCUCGUCGCCGCAGACGUAGCCGCAGCCGCUCCAGGAGCAGAAGCCGUUCCCGCUCCAGGAGCCGCCACCACUACAGCCGCUCCAGGUCCCGCUCCUACUCCAGAUCCAGGUCAAGGUCAAGGUCCAAGUCCAAGUCUAAGUCCAAGUCCAGAACCCCCAGACGGAGCAAAUCAAAGUCUCCCUCCAGAUCUCGGUCCCGCUCCAGGUCCAAGUCAAGGAGUCGAACACCACCUUCCAACAGAGGGUCCAAAUCCAAAUCCAGGUCCAGGUCCAAAUCCAAGAGUAGGCCUAAAUCCCCAGAGGACAACGGAGCAGAGUGUUAACCCAAACUUGGACACAAUAUGACGGUAUUCAGGGGAAAGGGUGGAUUAUAUUAGUUGCUGUAAAUAUUACAUCUGAGAUGGCUAUCUGUCAUCACUUGGGUUAGUAUUCUGCAGUCUUGAUGCUACAUUAGUCAUUUGCACACAAGCAACAAAGUCUGCAGAAUCCCGAAUGUUUUUAGAAAUUAAAAGAUUGGGACUGAAGUAGUCUACAGUCCUAGUCCUGUGUAUGCUUUACUUUGCUGGUAUGUUCAGUCAAUCUAAAGCACACACGGGCAACAGGAGAUUUGGGUUGAUGUGACUGUAUCAUAUUUAAAAAGGGAUAUUAAUCACAUUUGUACUCAUGUGAGUGUGUAUGGGAGGGACGUGGGGUGCUUCACUCAAAACGUUCACCUAAAUGUGGAAUUCUUUCCUCCAAGCUGCGGAGUCCUGUUUGCAAAGAGAGGAGGAGGAGAUGGGGGUGUGGCAGUGUGAGAGCAGUUAGUGUGUGACCCGCCCAUGUGACCUGCCUGUUGCUGAGAGCGAUGGCAGUUGCUAAGGAGCAGGUCACCAAGGCAACGGUGGUUACUAUGGAGCAGGUCGUCAUGGCGGUGGUUCGGGCUGUCAGUUGGUGUAUGAUGUGGUGUGGUGAGGUACGUUCACGGGGAUCACAGGCAGAUGCACUGAGCACUGUUCCCACCUGUGCCUGUGGUUUCCUCCACCUCUCAAAGGGAACGCACCCUGAGGUUUGUUUUUCAAAUAUGCCCGAGUGUACGAGUCUUGUUAGAGCUAGUUUUUGGGGAGAGGGGGCCAAGAAAGGUGUGUAAACAAAUGUGAAAAUGACUAGAAAUGUUAGGUAUAAUACACGAAAAUGGAUGCCCCCAAAAAAGGCAGUCUUAUAAAUGUUAGUGUCAGGGGAAAGAAGAUCAGACCAGUACUGCAUUUAAAUAUCCAGGUCAGCUGCAGGAGUUUUAAAAUAGCCUUUUUGUUUUGCUCUUGUCAAACUCUGUUCUGUCUUUCCUUCCAGAUCUCAGAUGAUUUGAGCCUUUGCUGAGGACAUCAGGAAGAGUCUCACAUUGAGCAAGUGGACUCCACUAUUACCACUGAAUGCAGACUGAAAGGCGCAGUUGUGUAGCAGUUGAGUAAUGCUGGUUAGCUGUUAAGAUGCGGUGCAGUGCGGUGGUGACAUGGUGUGGCGUGUUGCGGUGCUGAGUGCCCGGCGCUGUUCCGGGGCUCGACCCUCCGCUGCCGUUUGCCGGUUUGUAAGCUCACAGGUGUGGCAGAUCAACCAUCCUCUCCUGUCUUGUGACCUCUCCUUCCCUCCAUGUGCUGUACAGAUUCUCUCCUUCCUUUUCUCUUUAUUCUCCCUCCUUUCCUUUUUCCCCCUUCUGUGGUUUAUCCACUGUUGAUAACUGGUUUUGCUCGCUUUUUGAAAUUGGGUCCAGUGUGACUCCUAGUGAAGGGUUUAAAGGGCAGUCCAGGCUGCUUGAUGAAUAUUUUUGUGUAUUGCAUUCCUCUGUGAACCUCUUGUCUUGUAAUUGCGUCAGGUGAAUGCGAAUAAACAUCUUUGUCGUAAAUA